rnacentral:rRNA from 1 species
UAGGGUCAGCGCGCGACUGGUUGUGCGCGUCCAAGCAGUUAGGCGCCUCAAGUAGGCAAAUCCGCUUGAGUAGGCUGAGCUGUGAUGGCGAGGGAAAUAAAGUACCGAAGUGCCUGAUUCCACACUGCCAAGAAAAGCCUCUAGCGAGGUGAGAGGUGCCCGUACCGCAAACCGACACAGGUAGGCGAGGAGAGAAUCCUAAGGUGCGCGGGAGAACUCUCGUUAAGGAACUCGGCAAAAUGACCCCGUAACUUCGGGAGAAGGGGUGCUCCCUCGGGUGAAUAGCCCAGGGGAGCCGCAGUGAAAAGGCCCAAGCGACUGUUUAUCAAAAACACAGGUCUCUGCGAAGCCGUAAGGCGAAGUAUAGGGGCUGACACCUGCCCGGUGCUGGAAGGUUAAGGGGAGCGCUUAGCGCAAGCGAAGGUGCGAACCGAAGCCCCAGUAAACGGCGGCCGUAACUAUAACGGUCCUAAGGUAGCGAAAUUCCUUGUCGGGUAAGUUCCGACCCGCACGAAAGGUGUAACGACUUGGGCACUGUCUCAACGAGAGACCCGGUGAAAUCAUAGUACCUGUGAAGAUGCAGGUUACCCGCGACAGGACGGAAAGACCCCGUGGAGCUUUACUGCAGCCUGAUAUUGAAUGUUGGUGCGACAUGUACAGCAUAGGUGGGAGACUGAGAAGCCUGGACGCCAGUCUAGGUGGAGUCGCCGUUGGGAUACCACCCUUGUCGUACUGAGAUUCUAACCCGCACCCCUGAUCGGGGUGGGAGACAGUGUCAGGUGGGCAGUUUGACUGGGGCGGUCGCCUCCCAAAGCGUAACGGAGGCGCCCAAAGGUUCCCUCAGAAUGGUUGGAAAUCAUUCGAAGAGUGUAAAGGCAGAAGGGAGCUUGACUGCGAGACCUACAAGUCGAGCAGGGACGAAAGUCGGGCUUAGUGAUCCGGUGGUUCCGAAUGGAAGGGCCAUCGCUCAACGGAUAAAAGCUACCCCGGGGAUAACAGGCUUAUCUCCCCCAAGAGUCCACAUCGACGGGGAGGUUUGGCACCUCGAUGUCGGCUCAUCGCAUCCUGGGGCUGUAGUCGGUCCCAAGGGUUGGGCUGUUCGCCCAUUAAAGCGGUACGCGAGCUGGGUUCAGAACGUCGUGAGACAGUUCGGUCCCUAUCCGUCGCGGGCGUAGGAAAUUUGAGAGGAGCUGUCCUUAGUACGAGAGGACCGGGAUGGACGCACCGCUGGUGUACCAGUUGUCCCGCCAGGGGCACAGCUGGGUAGCUAUGUGCGGAAGGGAUAAGCGCUGAAAGCAUCUAAGCGUGAAGCCCCCCUCAAGAUGAGAUUUCCCAUCGCGUCAAGCGAGUAAGAUCCCUUGAAGAUGACAAGGUAGAUAGGUCCGAGGUGGAAGCGUGGCGACACGUGCAGCUGACGGAUACUAAUCGAUCGAGGAUUUAA